GACGAACGCUGGCGGCGUGCUUAACACAUGCAAGUCGAACGGAAAGGCCCUGCUUUUUUGGGGUUCUCGAGUGGCGAACGGGUGAGUAACACGUGAGUAACCUGCCCUUGACUUUGGGAUAACUUCAGGAAACUGGGGCUAAUACCGUAUAGGAUCUCCUGCUGCAUGGUGGGGGUUGGAAAGUUUCGGCGGUUGGGGAUGGACUCGCGGCUUAUCAGCUUGUUGGUUGGGUAGUUGCUUACCAAGGCUUUGACGGGUAGCCGGCCUGAGAGGGUGACCGGCCACAUGGGGACUGAGAUACGGCCCAGAGUGCUACGGGAGGCAGCAGUGGGGAAUAUUGCCCAAUGGGAGGAAGCCUGAUGAAGAAACGUCGCGUGCGGGAUGACGGCCUUCGGGUUGUAAAACGCUUUAGCCUGUGACGAAGCGUGAGUGACGGUAAUGAGUAAAGAAGCACCGGCUAACUACGUG
rnacentral:rRNA from 1 species